UUCGGCCAGGAGCCGCCGCGGAGCCUCAAAACCCGCGCUGCCCUGAGGAAAGCUCAGCAAACAGUCAAGGGAGCUGGCACCGCGGUUACACUAGGGAAAGAGCAGCAUGAGAGGUGAAAGCAAGGAACCUGAUGGGUCCCUGUAUAGCACUGUCUGACAUCUAAAUGGCCCUAGGCUUUGAUUUAUCCUCACCUGGAGCCAGCAUCCAACUACUCCCUAGUGACUCCUGAGAAUACACUGAACACACUCUGUGAUCUACUGUGACAUCAUGCCACCCUCACUCAUCCACUUCCC